rnacentral:lncRNA from 10 species
GGGGUUUAGGUAUUUGAUUGACUGGCGCCAGCAAGAACUCAUUUUGGAGAGCACCACAUACAUAACUAGGUCUCAUUCAGGCACGGUCCACACUAUUCCUAUCCACAAAGUGCUUUUGAUUUACCGGGAAAUCUUUUGACAAAGCUCUUCUCCCUUCAGGGAAGUGUGGGUGGUGGUGGUGGUGCAGGACCUAGAAGCAAAAAAGGGACACUUCUAACAAAGCCGUGAAGUUCUUCUGUGCUGUUAUAACGCGAUCUACCUAGGGAUCAUUAAUUCUCUCAAGACUCAAAAGGCUAAUAAUGAUUGCUGUGGAAAAAUACUACUUUCCCAAAAGUGCCUAUGGAUUUACAGAUCAUCCUGAAGACAGAAGCAGAAAUAUGUGGGCUACAAUAUGAAGUAAGGAAAUAAAUCUUAAGUAUUUUUGAUUUUUUCAGAAAAAUAAAAAGUACUAAAAAGUAAUGUGACUUAUUGAAUGCAGCUAUUUACAGCUGGUUGAAUGGACUUAUUGAUCAUUGCUUGAUGGAGCCCAGGGCUUAAAGUUAUGUAGCCAAUUUGAGCAACCUAUUUUAUGACUACAACUGUUUGUAUCCCCAAAUUUCCUUCUUUUUUUUUUUUUUUGUUUUGUUUUGAGACAGGGUCUCACUCUCUCUCCCAGGCUGUAGUGCAGUGGUGUGACCUCAGCUCACCGCAACCUCCGCCUCCUGGGCUCAAGUGAUUCUUCUGCCUCAGCCUCCCAAGUAGCGGAACCACAGGUGCCUGCCACCACACCAGCAUGAUUAUAAGCUUCCUGAUGCGUCCCCAGAAGCCGAGCAGAUGCUAGCCCCAAGAUUCCUGUAAAGCCUGCAGAACCAUGAGCCAAUUAAACCUCUUUUCUUUAUAAAUUACC